AAUAGAUCGAGGGCUUGACCAAAUAUAGUAAAUUAAAUAUGUGCAAUUUUGAAAGAACAAAAACUUUCAAACAUCUGGUGAUGAUGUUCUUUAGGGUAACACCCGUUCCCAUUCCGAACACGACGGUUAAGCCUUUAGAAGCCGAUGGUACUGCACGGGAGACUGUGUGGGAGAGUAGGUGGUCGCCAGGU
rnacentral:rRNA from 1 species